CUGCGAGAGUCGUAAAUUUUCAGUUACGAUACGAUAAUCGACGCCACGAAUCAGUCGAUCCCCUAUUUCGGUUAAGAGAAUAGAGGUGGUUGAAACGAUGAUAACACUGAGUUAACAGGUUAAAACACAUGUAGAAACACAUGAUUUAAACAAAUGUCAAGAGUAAUAAAUUUGUUAUUAUUUCCAUCGUUACUACAAUGAUGUAACGAAAUUAAUGCAGUAUAAAACAUAUAAAAAUAAUUUUAUUUAUACAUGAAAUAUAGAUCUAUUAUGUGCACCUCCCAUCAGUGGCUGUCGAACAUGAGAAAAACCUGCUUUUGCGUGUUUUACCUUAAGGAACAAUAACCCUAAGGAAAGUUUCGACUUGAAAUAUGUUUGAUAACAAUUAAGGGCCUUCAUAGUAAAGUAGAAAAUGCUAAAUCUCAAUAAUGGUUCUUCAGGUCUAUUGCCGGUCCGAAUAAGUAUGACCGAGGGAUGGAUUAUGAUUUAUAGUAGGUUCCUGGACAUAACAACAUAGAAUAGUUAU